rnacentral:rRNA from 1 species
UACGGGGGGAGCAAGCGUUGUUCGGAUUUACUGGGCGUAAAGGGCGCGUAGGCGGUCAGCACAAGUCAGUUGUGAAAUCUCCGGGCUUAACUCGGAAAGGUCAACUGAUACUGUGCGACUAGAGUGCGGAAGGGGCAACUGGAAUUCUUGGUGUAGCGGUGAAAUGCGUAGAUAUGACAUAGAACACCGAUAGCGAAGGCAGCUUGCUACACAGUCAUUGACACUGAGGCACGAAAGCGUGGGGAGCAACAGG